rnacentral:rRNA from 1 species
UACGUAGGGGGCUAGCGUUGUCCGGAUUUAUUGGGCGUAAAGAGCGUGUAGGCGGCCAGGUAGGUCUGCUGUGAAAACUCGAGGCUCAACCUCGAGACGUCGGCGGAAACCAUCUGGCUAGAGUCCGGAAGAGGAGAGUGGAAUUCCUGGUGUAGCGGUGAAAUGCGCAGAUAUCUGGAGGAACACCGGUGGCGAAGGCGGCAUCCUGGACCGGGAUUGACACUGAGGCGCGAAAGCCAGGGGAGCAAACGGG